rnacentral:tRNA from 1 species
GCCGAAGUGGUGGAAUUGGCAGACGCGCCGGACUCAAAAUCCGGUGGAGUAAAAUCCGUGCGGGUUCGACCCCCGCCUUCGGCACCA